GUGCUCACUUCAGCAGCACAUAUUCCAAAAUUGGAACAAUACAGCGAAGAUUAGCAUGGGCCCUGCACAAGGAUGACACGACAAUUCGGGAAGCAUUCCAUAUUUUU
rnacentral:snRNA from 1 species